rnacentral:lncRNA from 1 species
UCCCAAACUCUGAAAAACAACUCUGACUUCGCCAAAGGCGAUCAUCAAACCAACCCACCCUGAAUAGGCCGUGCGGAAUCACAUGAAGAUCCACAUCGGACCUCAGCCACUACAACAAGAAAGCACAGCUCUAACACCAACAGAGAGCUACGAAUGAACCAAGCAGCUGUGAAGUCGAAGCUACAGUGGCAGGGCCCGGUGGCAUAUGCUGACGAGUAGGUGGUCCGUUCGGUGAUCUUCCUCAACACGUAGUAUGACUUCAGUGCACACGACACAGUAUAUGCCCCCCUGGAGACCGACAACAGAACAACAGUUCCACAAGCAUGAGCACACUUGAAUUCAGGUGAGAGUGUGACUACUCCCAUUCCUGUCACGUAGAAAGAAGAAAACUCCCGUUUCGUACAGAAAUUCCAUGAGAAGCAAAAUGGCGCCACGUCGUAUUAUUUGUAUUCUUCGUUCUACGAAUCAGCAAAACCAGAUCACGACUCGGACACGAUUCACAUGGAGCACCUAUCUCACGCUUUUUCGACGCGGUAGCCAGGCUGCCUCUCUUCCUCAUCACUUAUUUAAGACGCCCAUCUGGGUUAAAAAGUCGUGACCGAACAAUGACCGGCGGUAUGUAAGGCCUUCCACAGCGUAGCCGGUGCCAAAUACAUCAAAAGGCAGCCACCUCAUCACCGGUGCCCAAAAUUGCUUUUCAGGCAUCGAUCUCACAACGUAGGGCUUCGGCAGGAAAAAGAUUUUGGGACCCAUAUGAUAAACAAGUACACCACGCUGCUGUGUAUUGAGCAAAGAGAGAGAAGACAUUUGCUGUUCAAAGUUGAGAGUUAAUAGUAUUUUAUUGGCUGGAGGAAUUGGGCAUCGUGUUCUUACUUGCUCCGAUGCCAUGAAAAUUUUGUUGGGGCACCGGCCUCACAACGUGAGGGCACCGGCUAUCGGUGCCAGAAGUUAAUUUGGCACCUCUUUUGGCCUACAUAAUGGAAGGUCUAAGAGGUGGGUUUGAGAGAUCGGUAGUAGAUGCUCUUAAUAAGCUAGUACUAGAAGAAGAACAUGUAUAGGGGAGGAAGGGGACAUAAGUGAAUCCCGAACGGAAGCACGUACCUGCGGGUGAUGGCCGAGUCGAGAAGCACGGUCGACGUUCGUGAUCGAGUUGGCGCCGUGCCGGAGCUAAUUCAAGGGAAUGCCGCCGCCUUCCAACCGGAGACGAGACUGUAUUAUGUGGCUGACAACCUGCGCAGCUUUCAAACAUGGUGGCUCCUUUUGGAAAAGGCUCGGAGUGGAGACCCCAACCGUGUCACUCGUGUCAUACAUAUGCACCUUACAAAGGGCUGCGAGCUUUACUACACAGAUGUGUUGGGUGUACAUUUGGUUUUAACAAAUUUGAGACCUUAUCUUUUUUUUUGUUGGGUUUGCUGCUUUUAUGUCAUUUUAAAUACAUAUGUGUAUGCUGUCAAUACACUAUAGAUUAACAUACACUAGUGUCAAAAACGCUUUUAUAUUAUAAAACGGAGGGAGUAGUCUGAUUUUCUCAACACGUAAAUUUUUUUUUAAAUGGAGGCAAAAGAUUUGGCUCAUUCAUUAAUUAAGCAGAAAAGAACUGCCCAGUUAAUUAAUGAAAAACCAGGCGAAAAUCAUCACAAACUACUGAGUGACACCAAUGAAAGACCUACACGCGCCACUCACAAGAGGGCCUCGUCAAGACUGCACGUCGACAUCAUCGCCAUCACUUCUCCCCUAGAGGCAUCAUUGCCAUCCCAAACUAUGAGAAACGACUCCAACUUCACCUCAAGAGGGCCUCGUCAAGACCGCACCUCGAGCGUCAUCACCAUCACUUCUCCCCUAGAGGUGUCAUCGCCAUCCCAAACUCUGAAAAACAACUCUGACUUCGCCAAAGGCGAUCAUCAAACCAACCCACCCUGAAUAGGCCGUGCGGAAUCACAUGAAGAUCCACAUCGGACCUCAGCCACAACAACAAGAAAGCACAGCUCUAACACCAACAGAGAGCUACGAAUAAACCAAGCAGCUGUGAAGUCGAAGCUACAGUGGCAGGGCCUGGUGGCAUAUGCUGACGAGUAGGUGGUCCGUUCGGUGAUCUUCCUCAACACGUAGUAUGACUUCAGUGCACAUGACACAGUAUAUGCCCCCCUGGAGACCGACAACUGAACAACAGUUCCACAAGCAUGAGCACACUUGAAUUCAGGUGAGAGUGUGACCACUCCCAUUCCUGUCACGUAGAAAGAAGAAAACUCCCGUUUCGUACAGAAAUUCCAUGAGAAGCAAACUGGCGCCACGUCGUAUUAUUUGUAUUCUUCGUUCUACGAAUCAACAAAACCAGAUCACGACUCGGACACGAUUCACAUGGAGCACCUAUCUCACGCUUUUUCGACGUGGUAGCCAGGUUGCCUCUCUUCCUCAUCACUUAUUU